AGGUCAACUGAAACAAGCCCCACCUAUAUAAAAACGCCCUAAUCAGACACCCUAACCCUUUCCUCACUACUUUACAUCGACCCUUGAGAACAUAACACUUCGUUCAUCAGCACGGGCAGCAAACCUAACAGCGUUCUUUUUAACAUGGACAACAUAUAUGCCUGAUUUUUAGGAACUCGGCACAACAUACGUUCCACUUACACAAGGAUCACAAAGCUAUAUAGGUCAAACUACACCUCUUAAAAACACAAGGUUCAAUAAGUUGUCCAGAAAAACCUGCAGAAGCGGGAGCAAUAAGUCCAAGCCUUACGUUAGGCCUGAGACAGAGUACGCAGCGUGUCAAGAACCGGGGCCAUCCGGAAUAACACAGAACAAAGUCGAUCACACAACCCCUUACCACUAUGGGCCCCAUGAAGACCCCUUGAUGUUUUUGGUAUAUUUACGCGAUAUUGAACUCCCAGAACAACAAGAAGAAAAACCACAACCUUUGGGCAACAUCGGAGACUCGGAAGAAUUCUUCAUCACCGGACCACACAUACCAGCGACGAGCUCUCACUCCUCCCUGAAGACAAGGAAUGCAGUUCCAAAGAGCAAUAACAUGGCAGAUAAAGAGACAGCAGCAAAGUCCUGAGCAAAGAGACCCAGCAAGCAGCAGCAGUGUGGACAAACAGCAUCGGAGAAGAAAAACAAACCCAUCAUCCUGACUGAUUGGAUGAAUGACACUGUGUUUCCAACAAGCUGCAAAUUCACUGUGCAUGUGAAAAGAACGUUUGAGAACCGAGGAGACUGUUGGAGUUUGACAUUUGCCACUUUAGAAGUAAAAUGGCAAGAAGAGACAGUGGAACUGUCAGGAAGAGAAAG
ensembl:lncRNA